rnacentral:ncRNA from 15 species
UACUUUUGUUACGAAUUUGGUAUGCUGAAUUAGGGUUUAAUUCAGCAAUUAAAAGGGAAUUUCGUUAAAAUCGAAAGCUGUUCCCGCAACUGUAAGCUAUGUGCACUUAGUGCAUGUUUUGUAAUUAAAAAACUUCAAUAACCACUGUUUCAUAUAGAAAUGGGAAGGUUUUUACAAAAACGCAAGCCAGGAGACCUGCCAUAUUCUUAAAUCAAGUC